AACGAUUAAAGCUCUCUUCGGAGAGUGCAUAGAGUGGCGCACGGGUGAGUAACACGUAAGUAAUCUACACUUUGAGUGGGGAAUAACAGUCGGAAACGACUGCUAAUACCGCAUAAUGCAGCGGCAUCGCAAGAUGACAGUUGUUAAAGAUUUAUCGCUUGAAGAGGAGCUUGCGGCAGAUUAGCUAGUUGGUAAGGUAAUGGCUUACCAAGGCUACGAUCUGUAACCGGUCUAAGAGGACGGUCGGUCACACUGACACUGAACAACGGGUGUNAGACUCCUACGGGAGGCAGCAGUCGGGAAUUUUGGGCAAUGGGCGAAAGCCUGACCCAGCAACGCCGCGUGAGUGAAGAAGGCCCUUGGGUUGUAAAGCUCUUUCGGUAGAGAAGAAGGGUGUGUGAGUUAAUACCUCAUAUAUCUGACGGUAUCUGCAUAAGAAGCACCGGCUAAUUUCGUGCCAGCAGCCGCGGUAAUACGAA
rnacentral:rRNA from 1 species